UACGAAGGGGGCUAGCGUUGCUCGGAAUCACUGGGCGUAAAGCGCACGUAGGCGGAUGUGUCAGUCAGGGGUGAAAUCCCGGGGCUCAACCUCGGAACUGUCUUUGAUACAGCACGUCUCGAGUCCGGAAGAGGUGGGUGGAAUUCCUAGUGUAGAGGUGAAAUUCGUAGAUAUUAGGAAGAACACCGGUGGCGAAGGCGGCCCACUGGUCCGGUACUGACGCUGAGGUGCGAAAGCGUGGGGAGCAAACAGG
rnacentral:rRNA from 1 species